rnacentral:rRNA from 1 species
GAGAAGUGUAUAUUAAAAUUGCUGCAGUUGAAAAGCUCGUAGUCGGUUUUCUGGGUGCGAUUGGUUUGGUUCUUUUAUUUCUUAAUAACUGUAUACCUCUACCAAAGUGCCCUUCCUUGUGGAGGACUAUUUAUUUAGUUUGUUCCACAUCCUUUACUGAGACUAAAUUGAAAUGUUCCAUGUAGACUUACGUACGAACAAUGCAGCUUGGAAUAAUGACCUAGGAAUUUUGGUUUUUGUUUGACGAACUCGGAAUUAAUACGCCAUAGGAACCGACGGGGGUGCUUGUAUUUGGAGGCCAGAGGUGAAAUUCUCGGAUUCUCCAAAGACAGACUCAUGCGAAAGCGUUCACCAAGUAGCUCUNCUUUGA